GACGAACGCUGGCGGCGUGCUUAACACAUGCAAGUCGAACGAAGUGGCGAACGGGUGAGUAACGCGUAAUCAACCUGCCCUUCAGAGGGGGACAACAGUUGGAAACGACUGCUAAUACCGCAUACUGAAGGAGGGGAUUGCGUCUGAUUAGCUAGUUGGAGGGGUAAUGGCUUACCUAGGCGACGAUCCCUAGCUGGUCUGAGAGGAGGAUCAGCCACACUGGGACUGAGACACGGCCCAGACUCCUACGGGAGGCAGCAGUGAGGAAUAUUGGUCAAUGGGCGCGAGCCUGAACCAGCCAAGUAGCGUGCAGGAUGACGGCCUAUGGGUUGUAAACUGCUUUUGUAUGGGGAUAGGUACCAUACGAAUAAGGACCGGCUAAUUCCGUGCCAGCCGCCGCGGUAAUUC
rnacentral:rRNA from 1 species